CGAUUGCGAAGGCAGCUUGCUGGACUGUAACUGACGNUGAGGCACGAAAGCGUGGGGAUCAAACAGGAUUAGAUACCNNGGUAGUCCACGCNNUAAACGAUGANUGCUAGCUGUUAGCGAUAUACUGUUAGCGGCACAGAGAAAUCGUUAAGCAUUCCACCUGGGGAGUACGCCGGCAACGGUGAAACUCAAAGGAAUUGACGGGGGCCCGCACAAGCGGAGGAACAUGUGGUUUAAUUCGAUGAUACGCGAGGAACCUUACCUGGGCUUAAAUUGCAGUGGAAUAACGUGGAAACAUGUUAGCCUUCGGGCCGCUGUGAAGGUGCUGCAUGGUUGUCGUCAGCUCGUGCCGUGAGGUGUCGGCUUAAGUGCCAUAACGAGCGCAACCCUCAUCGAUAGUUACUAACAGGUUAAGCUGAGGACUCUAUCGAGACUGCCGACGUAAGUCGUGAGGAAGGUGGGGAUGACGUCAAAUCAGCACGGCCCUUACGUCCAGGGCUACACACGUGUUACAAUGGGGGGUACAAAGGGCAGCUACCUGGCGACAGGAUGCUAAUCUCAAAAACCUCUCUCAGUUCGGAUUGGAGUCUGCAACCCGACUCCAUGAAGCUGGAUUCGCUAGUAAUCGCGCAUCAGCCACGGCGCGGUGAAUACGUUCCCGGGCCUUGUACACACCGCCCGUCAAGCCAUGGGAGCCGGGGGGACCUGAAGUAUGCAACCGUAAGGAGCGUCCUAGGGUAAAACUGGUGACUGGGGCU
rnacentral:rRNA from 1 species